UGGCAGCCCCGCCCCAGCGUCUCCAGGUACUUCUGAGAGAGAUGUCGCUGCCCUUGCCAGCAGAAGCUGUGCUCCCUCUCUUCGCUGCCCUUCCCCCGUCCUGCCCAGCGGAUUGCCGCCUGCCAGGAGCGCUGCGGAGGGACAUCAGGGCCUCACUGAGCAGCAGGCCGGGUUGUAUCGUGUAAGGCUGCCUCCCCUGCGGGAUCUCACUCCUGUCAGUGCAAUGAGCUGACAGGGAUAUGACACUCUACCAGCAAACUCCCAGGAGACAGCUGCAAGUGUCUGAGGACCUUAUGGGAUCUGGAGGCGAGCUGUUGGCAGUUCCUGGGACAAAAAAACAAGGAAGUUCAGUGGUUCUGGCAUCACCCAGGAAAAAAAUACUAAAUUUCUGAGUUCCAAAACAUGUUGCAGUGCAUAUUUUGGUGUUUCAUAUGAUAACAUGAGUGUAGCAAAGCUGCAGGUAAUCCUUUAGUUUUCAGGCUUUCUCCUGAGCACAAGAAGCCCAAGGUUGCUGUGUCUGUUCAUUUACCAUUAAUACUGUAGUAACACAUGCAGAGAAGAUAGGCGAAAUUCAGAAAAUGCCACCUUCGAUUACAAGCUGCUGAUUAAAGUGUUUUCUCAGGAAGAUGGAGGUGAAAAGGGAUUUGGUAUGUGAGCAGCCAUUCACGUGGCUGUGAAUGGGCACAAGGCUGUGUACCAUAGCUGGCUGUAUAUCACAGUUGCAUGCCCACCACCUGGAAGGGUAAUUAUUAGAGAAUCAUAGAACAGCUGAGGUUGGAAGGUGUCUCUGGAGAUUAUCUAGUCCACCCUUCCCCCACUCCAGUUUUGGGUAUAUUCCUACAGAACAGGGAGUGAGUCCUACUUAGCUUUAUGUUUUUGAAACCUCUAAACCUGUGAUACUCUUGACAAUAUGACCUUUGCAUAUAAUACCUUUAAAGUAAUUAUAAAAAGAUCUCCCUCUUGAAAUACAUAUAAUUCUUUUUAAUUCUCUGUCUUGGCUUAGAAAUUAGUGUCAUAUUUGCAGUUGCUGUAAACUGCCCUUGGCAAAUAGUUUCUUCUCCUCAGCUGUGAAUCUCAGGCUGUAUACAAAGCCAAGGGUAUAGCCCACAGUUUGCAUUAAGUAGCAUUUGAUUAUGUGGUAAUAACAUUAAUUGGCACCCAGAAUCAGUUGGCUGUAGGUGAUCUGAAGUGAUAAUGCACUAGAGCUUCUAACAUUCUAAGUCAAAAUGCUCCCUUAGCCUGGGGAAAGAUGCAGGUGUUUGGGAUAAAAGAAUGUUUUGUAAAUGAAGGACUUGAACAUUGUGAUUCCACUUCAUUACUCCUCUCCUGAUGCUUAAUGUAAAAUGAUUACUUUAUUGCCACCUCUCUUCUGUGUUUUAAAAGUAUUAGAAAAUUAAACCACAAACUUUAAAGAUGUACCAAGUUAUUUUAAAAAAUUCAAAGCAAAGAAUUAAAAAGGAUAUUGAAUAACUAAAAAAUAAUUUUGAAACAUUCCAGAUUUAAGCCAGUAUAUCUAUUACUCAAAUAUACAAUUAUAAAUUAUCAGUUCUUGAUUAUCUUGCUUGCCUUUGUAACAAUGAACCCCUCAAAACAAUUGCCUUUCCUGAAAGACUGUUUCAGCUUUAUGGAUUAGGGGUCUUCAUGGAGAUAGACUAUAUUUAUGCAGCUGGCAAAGCAAGUGUCUUAGUGAAUGGUAAUUGUUCCCCAAUUCCCACAAAUCCUUUCAUAAACCAUAGGCCUGGUUCUUUUUUUAAAUGUUCUUUCUUAUAUUUCAUUAAUAGCUGAGCCAUUGCUGAAUUAUACUUGAUAUAAUCAGGAGUGAGCUUUAACAAAAAUAGCAUUGGCAACUGAGGGAGUGUGAGUGUUCCAGUAAUUUUGCACUCUUUGGAAAAGGAAAAAGCAUGAGCAAAAAAUUAUGAAAGACUCUUAAAUUUGUCUACACUAUAUAUGGCCAUAUAGAGUAUUGACAUAAAUAUUAAAUUUGACAUUGUUGUGAAAUUGCAGGUGUGCAUUUCAUGUCUUAUUGUCUUCAUUAAAAGCUUUCUCUCCUGUAUUUUUCCAGGCCCAGGACCAUGUCUGGGAGAGAUGCUCUGUUAUCCUGCAUGUGCAGUAACAGAGCCAGAGCAGCCCUGGCAAGACCAGGGUGGUCUUCUGCAGUUAGAGAGCACAGUGCUUGGUGCCUGUGUCUGGCUCCAGGGACGGCGUGUCCCGGGGUGGUCAGGCAGUGAGCAGGGCUCUGGCUGUGGUGCCUCUGACGGGUUUGUGCAGUCUGUGCUGCAGAGUGUGGCCUGCAGCUUGUGCUGGAUGAGCGGACGGCGCUCCGAGCGCGCGGUGGAGGCGACUCGUGUGAUCUGUAGGGUUAAACACAUUCCUCUUUAACACAUGCACUCUAUUUGUCUGCAGUCUAAAUUGUUCUUGUGGAUUGUUCUGAGCAAGGUUUUGGUGUCCUGAGUUGUACUGCGGAAUAAAACUGGUUUUCUUUAUUUUUAAAUAACAGGAAAGAAAAGCAUAAUAGAGAAGAACAAGCAAAUAAUGAAGACACAUGGGGUUUUGUGCAGUUCAAUAUUGUGAAAAAAAUAGUAUUUCUGUAGUCAAGCUUAGGGCUUGUGAUAUGGUAAGGUUGAAUAAUGUUGAAAUAUGUAAUAUCUUAAUAUGCAUAAAAUUUGUGUUUUAUGAAUAGCAUAUAGAUAUAGUUUCACUGAGACCUCAACAUUUUUCUCUAGCAAUUCUAACAGACUUUUUUUUUUUUUUUAAUCUUACUGUAAAAUUUUGCACUUCAUAUUCCUUUAGUCUAAGCCCCAUGGAGUAUUUCUUCAUGAAAAGGAAGAAAAAUGUAACAGGCACUUAGGAGAGCCUACCCCCCAUGCCAGUAUUUCUAUGGGUGAAGGUGAGGAAAGAGGACAAAGAAGCAGGAAGAGAAACAGGUGUAGGUAUUAUCACGUCAUACAUAAGAAAAUGAUAUGGGAGACAAAUUGGCCAGCACAAAGUUAUUUAGGGAAACUUCAACACAACCAAGAAGCAGGUCACUUGUCUGGCCCCAAGUCCUAUUACAGGUUCUUAACCACAGGACUGGUUUUCCUUCUUCAGUUGCAAAUAAUUAAUAGCAUUCUGAAAUAAUAAUUUCACUCAGACUUGUUUCCUGUUGUGCUGGCUGGUGGUUUUCAGUGUAGCUAAUAUCUUACCUCUUAUUUUUCAUUAAUUGGUUGGCAUUUGAUUAGCCACCAGCCCCCCAAACCACAGGGAGUUUUGUAUUUGAGCAAGCUGAGGUGAGAAUUGAGUCCAAUAUAUGUCAUUUGAGUGCAGCUGAGCUGGAGAUUCAAGGUGUUAAGUACUUACUGAAGACUGUUCUUAUAAAUCAGGUCAGUCUGUGUAUAUACAACUGUGCAAUUUGAAUUAAUAUGGUUCUGCAUGUGCUGUAUUUUAAUAGAGCUAGACAAAGGAGGUACAGUAAGGAACUGAGUAACCUGGGGAAAGCCCAAGUUGCCUUAAUGCCAGUGAGACAAAAGUAUCACCAUAUUUACCUUCAGUGUAACCAGACAAUUCUUUUAAAAUUUACAUGUUUGUCUACCCUGAAUGUGAAAAUGGAGAGGUGAGAUAAUAUGGGACAUUAGGUUUGUUGCUGUGCUUUUGCUUCUGUUUGCAACUAUCAUCUUGCUUUUCUCCCUCAGCUAAUAUUGCAUUGAGGACACCUUAUCAGAAAAGAGGUUCUCCAAAUGUCUGCUCUGUUCCCUAAGGAAAGAUUUUUUUAAAGAUUUUUGCUUUUGUUUUUAUUUUCUUUAUAUAUGGUAGAACAAAGGGCUUCAAUUCACUUCUGGCUGGUGUUGAAAACAGCUUCUUACAGUCUGUCUCCCUUUAUGUUUUGUACUCUCUGCAGUGCACUUUUGCUGCCUGAAUAUUUACUGCAUGGCAGAGGAACAGAGAUCCUGGAAAUGUAAAACAGAAUUUGAAAUGUUUUGGAAUCAAAAUACUUUAGCAUUAAAGCUUCCUGUUUUUCUAGCAUUAUAGGAAGAGAAGAGUCCAUAAAUUUGUAAAGUGAGUCACUACUUAAAUGUCAUACGAACUGUGCUUGUCAUGAAAAUUUAGAAACUGAUUUACAGGCUGAAAAUGUUAUCAAUUGAACUAGAGUAUUAUGUAAUACCUGAAGUAACUGCUUACCCUGCACUAUUCAGAAGCAUGUAUUUAUUAAAGAAAAAAUAAAUUGAGCUCAACUUUGGGUUUUUGUUAAAUUUAUAAUGGGGAGGAAAUUGACAACUAAUCAGUCAGAGCUUGUGAAAAUGAUUUGUGACUAGAAAAGGGACGAGAAGGAAAAAAAAGACAAGCAGUGAGAGGUAAACAUUGUACUGUGCAGAUUGGUUGUGCUUUAUUCUGGAGCAAAUUUGUCCAAAUGUGUAUAAAUGUGGUAGCUCAAUAAUAAAUGAGGAGCAAGAGAAUACAAGCAAAAAAUUAGGUGAAUUCAUAGAGUCGUCUGUAUUUUAGUUAAGUGGAUGCUGUAAUGUGGUAAUAGAAAUGUAUUACCUACAUAUCCUGUUUUAAUGAACAUUGCUUCAUUAUACUGCUGUAGUAAAUGUUUCUAAUUUCCAAGAACAUAAGAGUGUAUCUUACUGAGGGGAAAAAUUAUACUUAUUAAACUGCAAGUUGCCAGCAUGCCAUUCUUGACAACCACAUACACACACACGCACGCAUGUGUAUGUGUAGAACGUAUAAAUAGUUAAAAUAUUCCUGAACCCAUGCAUACAAUUUCAUUUUUGUAAUAUUCAUUUCAUCUGUUGUAGAGAAGUGCUGUUUAAUUUGAAUGAGGCUGUGAAUUUUGCAAAAUGAGCUGGUAAUAGCAUUUUACUUAAACUUAUGUCAUCUCUGUUCAUAUUGUAUGGUUCAGGAAUGGUUUCUUUAUAAUUAAAGUGUCAAAAAACCACAUUUGAAUCAAGAAUGAUGAAAUUCAUUCAGGAUGAUUUGCUAAAGAAUAAUAACUUUAAAGUUUCUCCCUUUAAACAGAAUUGUUUAGGCUCUCUCAUCAGCUGUCCAGGGUUUCCUUAUUUCCUUUUCUAGCUACCCUAGGAAAUGAACUGGUAUCUUACAAUGCUUUCUCUAUUUCCAUAUGCUCUGCUUAUUAUAUACAUAUUAUGGGUCAAUUAUUAGAGGUUGUUGUACCAAUGAUUUACAGGAGCAUUGGUAAAUACUUCUAAAAUUUUACUGAGUAGGUAAGAAGAUAAAAUAUAUUGCACCUCCAGUACAGAGAGUAUAAUCAGUGAAAGUCCAAAUUCUUUGCAGAAAUGUGGAGACUUCCAGGAAUCCAAAUUGAUAAACGGGAAUUUUUCUGCAUGUUGAACUUGACUCCACAAUAUUUGGCUUAUUAGUUCACUGCUGAGCACAGGAUGGUACCUCUGGCCUUGAUUCAGCAGUCUUUAAAUAAAUGGAUAAGUGCUCUGCUGAAUCAGGGCCAGACUAGUGCCAUGUCGAUAUAGGACAUUUUGGGUGAAAGAAAAUGUUGACCACAGGGGGUUGAUUUCUUCUUCCUCGUAGGGGAACAAGUCUGAAAUAAAUAUACAGAAACAGUAGCAGGAAAGAAGAUGGACUGAAAGGUUUUACCUAAAAUUAACUUUAGAUUGUAUGUUCAGAGCAACAGUGCUUGUUCUGUGAGAUGGAAAAGAUAUGCUUGACUUCAGUAUUAUUUUUUUAAUUACUCAGUGGGGUUGUAUAUAAUAAGGGUGGGAUUUGCUGCACCUUAAUGGCUAUCUGAAAGCUGUCUGGUCUGAGCUUCUAGAGGUGGAAAGAGACAGCGUCUCUCUAGGAGCUGAUUUAUCCUGUUGUAAGGUGUGUGUGGUUAAUUACCCCCAGAGAUGCUGCUGCACGGAAGGAAACUACUGGACUCUAAUCGGACAGAAGCUAGGUGAGAUAAAGAAGAUGCUACCUGA